rnacentral:rRNA from 1 species
CCUACGGGUGGCAGCAGUGGGGAAUAUUGCUCAAUGGGCGCAAGCCUGAAGCAGCCAAGUCGCGUGGAGGAUGAAGGUCUUAGGGUUGUUAAACCUCUUUGUUAGAGAAGUUAAUGACGGUAUCUAACGCAUAAGCACUGGCUAACUCCGUGAAAGCAGCCGCGGUAAUACGGCGGGUGCAAGCGUUACUCGGAAUCACUGGGCGUAAAGGGCGCGUAGGCGGGUUAGCAAGUUAGAUGUGAAAGUCUUUGGCUUAACCAUAGAACUGCAUUUGAAACUGUUAUUCUAGAGUAGGGGCGAGGUAGGUGGAAUUCGUGGUGUAGGGGUGAAAUGCGUAGAUAUCAAGAAGAAUACUCAUUGCGAAGGCAGCCUGCUAGAACAUAACUGACGCUGAUGCGCGAAAGCGUGGGGAGCAAACAGGAUUAGAUACCCGAGUAGUG